GGUGGAACGUUCUCUGGGGUUUCUCCUGCUAUUGCACCUGCACGUUGCUUCUCUCGUGGAUGUUUUUCUGCUCAGUGUCUACACGAGAGAGUGAGAGAAGCCAUUGCCCCGUUGAUCCACUGAUGAUCUGUUUACAGGUUAUGUGGAAAAGCCUGUGCUUGAUGGAGAUGUAAAGCAGAUGACCACAGCAUCCCAGGUCCCAAGAGGGGACUGUUUUAGUAAUUUUCUACUGGGCAAACUGAAUUUGUCAGGUCUCAGGUUUAACUUUCUUCUUUCUUCCUGGCAAUCUCCACGCAGCUGUUUUUACUUACACUCUCGCGCACCUGUUUGUUAUUUCCUCAUUCUCUUUUGACUCCUUAUAGUCAGCCUCUGCUUUCCUUUCCGUUGCCAGUGUGUUGA